CACACCGCCCGUCACACCAUGAGAGUUGGGAAUACCCGAAGCCUGUGAGCUAACUUUUAGAGGCAGCAGUCGAAGGUAGAAUCAAUGAUUGGGUGAAGUCGUAACAAGGUAAC
rnacentral:rRNA from 1 species